AAAAAGAACUGCAAAGACUUGUGAGAGAGUUAUAAAAAUUAAGAUAAGGGGUUUUGGUGUAUUUGAGAUACAUGUUGUUAGGGCAAUUUUGCUUGCCCAGAAGGAAAUGGAGAGAGCAGAAGCAGGAGUCGGUGGGGAAAUCAAAGGGCGAGUUAUAAGAAAGGAGUGUGAAGAGCCUGGCUGUUUGUGUUGAAAUUAUAAACAGGAGUGUGUUUUUCAGAUAUAUUCUUGGGGAAGAUGUAAAAGUGGGAGAUAAGUAAAACAGUAAAGCUGUUGAGGGGGAGAAAGGGCUAAGCUAAGCCUUCCUAUUGCGUGGUCUUAUUUGCAAUCCCUGUCUGCCCUGGAAGCAUCCCCCAUAUCUCUCUCUGUUUAUAUAUGCAGAAAACUCCUGCAGAGCGGGGAGGAAGAUGCAAGCUCUCCAUCUGGUCUUCCAGACUUUGUUUCUCAUCCUGGCACCAGCCUGGAGAGGAGGCAGAAUCUGCUGGACUUUCCCCACUGACACACCAAGGCCAACAAAAAGGCUCUCUGGACCAUCCAACACGACGAGGUAGCUGCAGUUGCAGAUCUGAGGGGUGACCUCUGAAGCCUCGUUCCUGGGGAGGAUGCAGCAGAACAAAGUCAUCCUUGUUCACAUUCAUUUAAAUCCAUGUGCAGAGUCUCUCCUUCCCCUGUGCAGCACAUCCCCCGCACGGGCUGACAAAGGGCUGCAUUCAUCAGGGACCAGCAACUGGUUAGAAUCCUUCUGAAAGACAGCAGGACGUGCCAGCUCUACCAGCCUUGGGUUAAAAUGUUCAUCCUUCCUCACUCACUCAGGCCCAGGGCCACCUUGGCUGACUCCUGUGCACGUGGAGGGGCUCGAGGGUCUAAGAACCCACUGGGGUGGUUCCAUGGGUGGGAAAGGGUUCCCUGGGGUGGGGAAAGGGUUCCCUGGGUCAGCAAGUCCUGUUGAAGGGGUUGCAUCUCGUGUGGGAGCUCACUGACUUGUGUCCUGGGAGCUGUUUGGUUUCAUGCCCACACUCCUCCCACAGACAAGCUGCUGCUCAACCUUGCUGCUCUGGAUGGGGUGAAACUUCUUUGCCUUUCCAGCCACAAUUUAUUCAUGGUUGGUUUGCUCUCAUUUGUUCCCGUGCCAGCACUGGCCAUUAGCUUGAAAAGCUCUCCCCAGGGCUGGAUUUAGUCAUCUCAGAGUGUGUGUAGGGAACGAGCAGCUCCUUGUGGCUUCCAUUCACAGAGGAUGAGACCAAGGCUGCUUUAGUUCUCCUGUUGCAGAGAGGAAAUGCUCAGUCCUCCCCACUGCUCUGCUCUUCUCUUCUCUUCUCUUCUCUUCUCUUGGACUAAGCUGAAUUUGCCUGCUGAGUCGUCCCAGGCAGGCCAGGAUGGAUGGUGGCAGCCUGACCAAGCCUUGAUGCCAAGGGUGUAGCUGCAAAAGCAAAGACUGAGGUGGUCGUGCUGGUGCAGUCAAGUAGGGAGAGGAGAGAUCCCAGUGGCCUUGAACUGGAGCAAAAAUUGUUUGUGGUGGUGAUGUGAAAAGACUGCAGCAUAAAAAAGUGAACACAUGCUUAGCCCUUGUCAGUUGAUCUUAAUGCAGAGAGUGGGACUGCCCUGAUUUUUGUCUCCCUUCCCUGUCUCUGUGUGCUCUCCAUUCUGCCCCAUCUCUCCUGCUGCCACUCUCCUUCUCUUUGACUGUCUUAUUCUGGACUGUUCUGGGAGGCUGGUCAGAACCUAGCAAGGUGAUUGCUUUCCCAAAAGUCAUCCCUAGAAACCACCAAAUGCUCUGAAGGCAGCCUAGGAAGAGCUUGAAACAGGUUUAAGCUGCUGUGCUUACAGGCUGCCAGGUGUUUUAUGUGGCCUUCUGUUUGCCAGUGAAUUGCCUCCCAUUCUUACCAAAAUCCAGAAGUCCCCAGGAUGUUCCCUGAAAUUUUGGGGACAGUCAGUCUAAAGACAUGUCUGAAAUUAAUUGUAUGACACCAAAUGAAGCAUAGGCCAUCACUUCUAGUGCACACAAAUAAAAUUUGGAGCCUGAAAUUUAGACCCCUGAUGCAACCCUGGCCCUCUCAGACUUGACCAGGUAAAUCAGCUCCUCCCAAAUUCCCCCUGUCCCCUCACCUGCAUUCCCUUUCAUGCCUUUCAUGAAACCCAGCCCCCAGUGGAGAUGGUUUCUGUGGCAACUCUACAAGUCACCCUUUGGGUGGUCCUAGAACUGCACAUCUUCCCACUGAAAGGACCAGGCACUUUAAGGAAAGUGGUAAUGGACACUCAUAAAUUGCUGUAUGGUAGUUCCCUUGCUGCCUGGGAGAUGCAUUUGUCACCUAGCAACGACAUGAGGUGAUGAGGAAAUAACAGCAUGUUAAUCUAAUGGCCACGAGUUAACAUCUAUCAGGGAGCAGCCUCCCGAGCCCACCACUGAGGUGAAUAUAACUGAGGAGGAAAGAGACACCAAACUUUUC
ensembl:lncRNA